UACGUAGGUGGCAAGCGUUAUCCGGAAUUAUUGGGCGUAAAGGGAGCGUAGGCGGUUUAUUAAGUUUAUGGUUAAAGUUCGGGGCUCAACCCCGUGAUGCCAUAGAAACUGGUAGACUUGAGUACAGGAGAGGUUAGUGGAAUUCCAUGUGUAGCGGUAAAAUGCGUAGAUAUAUGGAGGAACACCAGUGGCGAAGGCGGCUAACUGGCCUGUAACUGACGCUGAGGCUCGAAAGCGUGGGGAGCAAAUAGG
rnacentral:rRNA from 1 species